AGAGUUUGAUCAUGGCUCAGGACGAACGCUGGCGGCGUGCUUAACACAUGCAAGUCGAACGAUGAACUCCAGCUUGCUGGGGGGAUUAGUGGCGAACGGGUGAGUAACACGUGAGUAACCUGCCCUGGACUCUGGGAUAACCCCGAGAAAUCGGAGCUAAUACCGGAUAGGACCUCGAAUCGCAUGGUUUGGGGUGGAAAGUUUUUCGGUCUGGGAUGGACUCGCGGCCUAUCAGCUUGUUGGUGAGGUAAUGGCUCACCAAGGCGUCGACGGGUAGCCGGCCUGAGAGGGUGACCGGCCACACUGGGACUGAGACACGGCCCAGACUCCUACGGGAGGCAGCAGUGGGGAAUAUUGCACAAUGGGCGCAAGCCUGAUGCAGCAACGCCGCGUGGGGGAUGACGGCCUUCGGGUUGUAAACCUCUUUUAGUAGGGAAGAAGGGCUUCGGCUUGACGGUACCUGCAGAAAAAGGACCGGCUAACUACGUGCCAGCAGCCGCGGUAAUACGUAGGGUCCGAGCGUUGUCCGGAAUUAUUGGGCGUAAAGAGCUCGUAGGCGGUUUGUCGCGUCUGCUGUGAAAUCCCGAGGCUCAACCUCGGGCCUGCAGUGGGUACGGGCAGACUUGAGUGCGGUAGGGGAGAAUGGAAUUCCUGGUGUAGCGGUGGAAUGCGCAGAUAUCAGGAGGAACACCGAUGGCGAAGGCAGUUCUCUGGGCCGUAACUGACGCUGAGGAGCGAAAGCGUGGGGAGCGAACAGGAUUAGAUACCCUGGUAGUCCACGCCGUAAACGUUGGGCGCUAGAUGUGGGGACCUUUCCACGGUUUCCGUGUCGUAGCUAACGCAUUAAGUGCCCCGCCU
rnacentral:rRNA from 1 species